rnacentral:rRNA from 1 species
AAUCAACGCUGGCGGCGUGCCUAACACAUGCAAGUCGAACGCGAAAGCCCCUUCGGGGGUAAGUAGAGUGGCGUCCGGGUGAGUAACACGUGGGUAAUCUACCUUCGGGUGGGGAAUAACUCAGGGAAACUUGAGCUAAUACCGCAUAAUGCAGCGGCACCUAAUGGUGAUUAGUUGUUAAAGCGGGGGAUCGUAAGACCUCGCGCCUGAAGAGGAGCCUGCGGCAGAUUAGCUAGUUGGGAGGUAAUGGCUCACCAAGGCUUCGAUCUGUAGCUGGUCUGAGAGGACGGCCAGCCACACUGGCACUGACACACGGGCCAGACUCCUACGGGAGGCAGCAGUGGGGAAUUUUGGGCAAUGGGCGAAAGCCUGACCCAGCAACGCCGCGUGAGGGAGGAAAUCCUUCGGGAUGUAAACCUC